AGAGAAUGAAAAUCUGCUGCACAGAGGAAGCCAGAGUCAAGGGAGCUGCUUACUCACCCCUCAGCCUCCUCCUGCUCUUCCACCCGCCUUAGGGUGGAACACGAUGGAUGAAUUGACAGCCCCGUCUCAUGGUCCUCACCAUGCAGACUCAUCUGGGGAGGUGCUCGUGGGCAGUAAGAUGCUGCUGGAUGCAAACUUUGUCCUCGUCAUAGGGGCUGCACAGUUGGUGUCUGGACCAGAGCAGCACAACCAAGGCUCCUCCUUUGGUAAUGGUUUCCUGUCCUGGACCUUGAGGUCUUCACUCUGGGGAGGCUCCUGUUUUGCCAUUUACCCUGUUAUUUAGAAAGUGUGCCUCAGAGCCUCAACUGCCUCUUAGCUUAUAGGGUGAUAGGCUGGAAGACUUAAAAACUGAGACUGCUUUGAUGACUCUGGCAUUCCUUGGGCAUUGAGAAGCUGGUUAUCAGUGUUGCCAUGACAACUGCAGGGCCAAUAAAUAACAUGGUGGAGGUGAAAGGUCAUAUCAGACACUAACUAUAUUGUAAAACCUCUUAGACGCCUGGACUAUGUACUUGAGACACAUUGGAUGGUUGUUUUGAAAGAUACUGGGUCUGGUCUGUAUACAGGGUCUGGUCUGUAUGUUGUCCAGGCUGGUCUCCAACUCCUGGCCUCAAGCCAUCCUCCCAUCUCGGCCUCCCAAAGCACUGGGAUUACAGGUGAGAGCCACUGUGCCUGGCCCCUUUAUUACUCAUCGAGGAGGAUAAAUAUGGAGAUUUCAUGCCUUACCCCAUGUUCAGCUCCUAUGUUUCCAGUGUCACUUCCCACUAACUUACUCUCCAGUCAUGCUGAUAUAGAUCCAUCGGGAGUUGUCCCCAACCCUCCAUGCUGUACCUUUGCGUGUGAUGUUCACUCUUUGAAUGUCUUCCCAACUUCUGCAUGCCUUGAAAAUGUCUAUUCAUUCUUCAACAUCUACCUAAGACUUUAGCUUCCUCCUUGAAGUCUUCCUGGGGGACGUCUUCCACCCUCAAACCCCUACUCAUUUUUUUGUGCCUUUUUCCAACUCUUUUCAUCCUUACAUAUUGG
rnacentral:lncRNA from 13 species